rnacentral:misc_RNA from 1 species
CUACGGUCAGCUCCUCUGAAACAGAUCAGCUUGCCAGUAUUUGGUGGCGUCACAGGUGUGAUAACUAUCUACGCUUGCGAUCGUUUGCCAAGUAACCUUUGGUGACGAGGGUUUGCUGGAGCUUAUAAAUGUCUCUCCUCAGCGAAGACAGCUUUUGACCGUUCGAUCUCAAAUCAGGUAGGACUACCCGCUGAACUUAA